rnacentral:tRNA from 1 species
GGGUCGGCUCGCCUAUUGGUGUAGGCAACUGUCUGUAAAACAGCCGCGUUUGCGUUGAAAGUUCAACUCUUUCCCGACCUAC